GUCGGUAUCGAUUAGGGGUUAAAUCACUUCGUUGUGGUCGUUCUGUUUCAGGACAACAAUCGCGAAGAGCCGCUGGUUGGAUUCCAGCUACCGACA